rnacentral:tRNA from 1 species
GGAGGAGUGGCAGAGCGGUCAAAUGCACCUGACUGUAAAUCAGGCACCUUCGGGUUACGUUGGUUCAAAUCCAGCCUCCUCCACCA